GAAUUGAGUUAAGUGUACAAGGUGUAGGGGUGAGUAUUGUAAAUGAGAUACCCUUGUAGACUUCUUAAAUAGAAGAUAAAUCUUUUCAUUAAUAUAUAAAUUAUAUAAAAAAGAAAAGAUUAAAAUAAUCAAGAAAAGAUUAAAUUAAAAAGGAAAUUUUCCACUAUAAGGAUUCAAUUUACAUUCGAUUAGGUAGUUGGAAGGGUAGAAGCCUCCCAAGCCGACGAUCGAUAGUCAAGUUUGACAGAACAGAUGACCACAUUGGGAAUGAAAUAUCCCAAGUAGCAUUAAGCUACCAGCAGUCAAGAAUAUUAGUCAAUGCUCGCAAGAGUGAACUAGCUAACUGAAAUCAAAGGUGUGUCACUUUUGAUAAGGUAAAGGAAAAUAAUGAUACUACUUUACUAUUAGUGUCGUCCAAGUACUCGUGCCAGAAGACUCGGUAAGGCGAGAGACGCAAACGUUAGUCGUCUUGAUCAGGCGUAAAGGGUUUGUAGGCGGCUUUAAGAAUGGAUUCUUUCUAAAUAACAUUACUCUUGAGUAACACAGAAAGAAAAAAUCAAUUAAAGCUAGAAUCAAAUAGAGGUCAAAUUAAAUAAUACUUGGUGUAAGAUUGGUAUCUUUAAAAACCAAGCGGAAUACUAACGGCGAAGGCUUUUUUCCAUUAAUGAUUGACGCUGAGAAACUAAGGUGAGGACAGAAAAAAGGAUUAGAGACCCUCGUAUUCCUCACUGUCAACGAUGAAUGGUAGUUACUAGAUAUAAUUUAAAUGAAUAUACAUACUUAUUCUUUAAAGAAUCAAAUCUAGAGACGAUGUUAACACGAAAACCAUUCCGCCUUGUGAGUACGACUGCAAAGUUGAAAACAAAAAAAUUAGUCGGUUUCGGAGCAAACGAAGUGAAGCAUGUUAUUUAAUACGAUACCCCGCGUAAAAUCUUACCAGUCCUUGCAUAAAACUUUUAUUAUGAAGAAUUAUUUUGUAAGAGAUUUAACUAUGGUUUUUGACUAUAGCCUAAAUCAACUUAUAUUAUCAUUAAUAAUGAUUAAAAGGUUGUUCUACUUCUAUUAAUAACAAUAGAAUAUGGACUUCAUACAGGUGUUGCAUGGCUG
rnacentral:rRNA from 1 species